rnacentral:rRNA from 1 species
ACUCAAAUGAAUUGACGGGGACUUGCACAAGCAGAGGAUUAUGAGGUUCAAUUCGACGACAAACGAAAAACCUUACCAGGACUUGAAACCUACACGAAAUCUCUAAGAAACUAGAGACCCCGCAAGGCGGGUAGGCAGGUGCUGCAUGGCCGUCGUCAGCUCGUGGCUUGAGUUGUUCCCUUCAGUGGGGUAACGAGCGCAACCCUUGUCGUGAGUUAUAUUUGUCUCACGAGACUGCCCCGUAUUUUGAGCACAAUUUGUAAAGUACAAAUUGCGAGCAGGAUACGGGGAGGAAGGCGAGGAUGACGCCAGGUCCGCAUGGCCCUUUGAUGUCCUGGGCCACACUCAUAAUACAAUCGCCGCAAACAGAGCGACCCGAUAUCGUAAGAUGGAGGAAAUCGUUUAAAAGGCGGCGCCAGUUCGGAUUGAGGGCUGAAACUCGCCCUCAUGAAGCCGGAUUUGCUAGUAAUCGCGGGUCAGCUAUACCGCGGUGAAUACGUUCUCAAGUCUUGUACACACCGCCCGU